AUUUGUUCAACUAUUAAACUAUACAGAUUCUGUACAAUGUAACAAAAUAAAAAAUAUACAUGGAAAGAUAUUAGAUUUGAUUGUAACACCGUCAGUUUUUAGUUGCGAAGUUACACCUGAAGUCAAUGCCUUAGUUCCUAUUGAUUAUCAUCAUCCUGCUUUAACUUGUUAUUUUCCGUAUGAAGUCAAAGAAGAUGAAUAUUUUGUUCCGAAUCAGAAACGUCUUAAUUUUAGAAAAUAUAACGUAAAUAAAUUUAAUAAACUUUUAACCGAAA
rnacentral:lncRNA from 1 species